GAUGAACGCUGGCGGCAUGCCUAAAACAUGCAAGUCGAGCGGUAAGGCCCCUUCGGGGGUACACGAGCGGCGGACGGGUGAGUAACACGUGGGCAACCUGCCCCAGACUCUGGGAUAACCUCGGGAAACCGAUGCUAAUACCGGAUACGACCACUUCGGACAUCCGACGGUGGUGGAAAGUUUUUCGGUCUGGGAUGGGCCCGCGGCCUAUCAGCUAGUUGGUGGGGUAAUGGCCUACCAAGGCGACGACGGGUAGCCGGCCUGAGAGGGCGACCGGCCACACUGGAACUGAGACACGGUCCAGACUCCUACGGGAGGCAGCAGUGGGGAAUAUUGCACAAUGGGCGAAAGCCUGAUGCAGCGACGCCGCGUGAGGGAC
rnacentral:rRNA from 1 species